rnacentral:rRNA from 1 species
AGCGAACGCUGGCGGCAGGCUUAACACAUGCAAGUCGAGCGGGCAUCUUCGGGUGUCAGCGGCGGACGGGUGAGUAACGCGUGGGAACGUGCCUUCUGGUUCGGAAUAACUCAGGGAAACUUGAGCUAAUACCGGAUACGCCCUUUUGGGGAAAGGUUUACUGCCGGAAGAUCGGCCCGCGUCUGAUUAGCUAGUUGGUGGGGUAACGGCCUACCAAGGCGACGAUCAGUAGCUGGUCUGAGAGGAUGAUCAGCCACACUGGGACUGAGACACGGCCCAGACUCCUACGGGAGGCAGCAGUGGGGAAUAUUGGACAAGGGGGGCAACCCUGAUCCAGCCAUGCCGCGUGAGUGAUGAAGGCCUUAGGGUUGUAAAGCUCUUUUAUCCGGGACGAUAAUGACGGUACCGGAGGAAUAAGCCCCGGCUAACUUCGUGCCAGCAGCCGCAGUAA